rnacentral:tRNA from 1 species
AAGGAUUUAAGUUAAUAAAACUAUUAACCUUCAAAGUUAAAAAUAGAAUUUAAUUCUAAGCCUUA